rnacentral:rRNA from 1 species
CUCAGGAUGAACGCUGGCGGCGUGCUUAACACAUGCAAGUCGAACGAGCCUUCGGGCUAGUGGCGGACGGGUGAGUAACGCGUGGGAAUCUGCCCUCAGGAGGGGGAUAACGGCCGGAAACGGCCGCUAAUACCCCAUAUGCCGAGAGGUGAAAUGAAUUUCGCCUGAGGAUGAGCCCGCGUCUGAUUAGCUAGUUGGUGUGGUAAUGGCGCACCAAGGCGACGAUCAGUAGCUGGUCUGAGAGGAUGAUCAGCCACACUGGGACUGAGACACGGCCCAGACUCCUACGGGAGGCAGCAGUGGGGAAUUUUCCGCAAUGGGCGAAAGCCUGACGGAGCAACGCCGCGUGAGGGAUGAAGGCCUCUGGGCUGUAAACCUCUUUUCUCAAGGAAGAAGACAUGACGGUACUUGAGGAAUAAGCCACGGCUAAUUCCGUGCCAGCAGCCGCGGUAAUACGGGAGUGGCAAGCGUUAUCCGGAAUUAUUGGGCGUAAAGCGUCCGCAGGCGGCCUUGUAAGUCUGUCGUUAAAGCGUGGAGCUUAACUCCAUUUCAGCGAUGGAAACUACAAGGCUUGAGUGUGGUAGGGGCAGAGGGAAUUCCCGGUGUAGCGGUGAAAUGCGUAGAUAUCGGGAAGAACACCAGUGGCGAAGGCGCUCUGCUGGGCCAUAACUGACGCUCAUGGACGAAAGCCAGGGGAGCGAAAGGGAUUAGAUACCCCUGUAGUCCUGGCCGUAAACGAUGAACACUAGGUGUCGGGGGAAUCGACCCCCUCGGUGUCGUAGCUAACGCGUUAAGUGUUCCGCCUGGGGAGUACGCACGCAAGUGUGAAACUCAAAGGAAUUGACGGGGGCCCGCACAAGCGGUGGAGUAUGUGGUUUAAUUCGAUGCAACGCGAAGAACCUUACCAGGGUUUGACAUCCUGCGAAUCCCUUGGAAACGAGGGAGUGCCUUCGGGAGCGCAGAGACAGGUGGUGCAUGGCUGUCGUCAGCUCGUGUCGUGAGAUGUUGGGUUAAGUCCCGCAACGAGCGCAACCCACGUCUUUAGUUGCCAGCAUUCAGUUGGGCACUCUAGAGAGACCGCCGGUGAUAAACCGGAGGAAGGUGUGGAUGACGUCAAGUCAUCAUGCCCCUUACAUCCUGGGCUACACACGUACUACAAUGCUACGGACAAAGGGUUGCAAGCUCGCGAGAGUUAGCUAAUCCCAUAAACCGUGGCUCAGUUCAGAUCGUAGGCUGCAACUCGCCUACGUGAAGGAGGAAUCGCUAGUAAUCGCAGGUCAGCAUACUGCGGUGAAUACGUUCCCGGGCCUUGUACACACCGCCCGUCACACCAUGGAAGUUGGCCAUGCCCGAAGUCGUUACUCCAACCCUUGUGGAGGAGGACGCCGAAGGUGGGGCUGAUGACUGGGGUGAAGUCGU